rnacentral:lncRNA from 1 species
AUGUUAACAAGAAAUUUCUCUGUCAUGCCUUUUUCAGAAUCUCAACCCAAAGUAGACCAUGUGGAUGACAACUUUGCAACUUGCCUUCUCAAGCUCUUAGUGAUGGUUCUUAUUUUUUAUGUAUUCCGGGAGGAAUGUUUUGGAAAUAAGAAAAGAAAAGGAAAUGAUCAACUGAAGGAAAAUGAUCAACUGAAGGAAAAUGAUCAACUUAGGAAGGAAAAUGGUAAACUUUUAUGACUCUUUACAAAAUAUGAUCUCUCUAUUAACCGUUUCAUAAGAAGUCUUAUAAUACUCUUUUUAUUUUUCAGAUCAACUUAGGAAGGAAAAUGGUAAACUUUUAUGACUCUUUACAAAAUACGAUCUCCCUAUUAACCGUUUCAUAAGAAGUCUUAUAUUACUCUUUUUUUUAAUAAUUUUUUUUUAUUUUCCCACUGUACAGCAAGGGGGUCAGGUUAUCCUUACAUGUAUACAUUACAAUUACAGUUUUUCCCCCACUAUUUCUUCUGUUGCAACAUGAGUAUCUAGACAUAGUUCUCAAUGCUAUUCAGCGGGAUCUCCUUGUAAAUCUAUUCUAGGUUGUGUCUGAUAAGCCCAAGCUCCCGAUCCCUCCCACUCCCUCCCCCUCCCAUCAGGCAACCACAAGUCUCUUCUCCAAGUCCAUGAUUUUCUUUUCUGAGGAGAUGUUCAUUUGUGCUGGAUAUUAGAUUCCUGUUAUAAGUGAUAUCAUAUGGUAUUUGUCUUUGUCUUUCUGGCUCAUUUCACUCAGGAUGAGAUUCUCUAGUUCCAUCCAUGUUGCUGCAAAUGGCAUGAUGUCAUUCUUUUUUAUGGCUGAGUAGUAUUCCAUUGUGUAUAUAUACCACUUCUUCCGAAUCCAAUCCUCUGUCGAUGGACAUUUGGAUUGUUUCCAUGUCCUGGCUAUUGUGAAUAGUGCUGCAAUGAACAUGUGGGUGCACGUGUCUCUUUGAGGUAGGGAUUUGUCUGGAUAGAUGCCCAAGAGUGGGAUUGCGGGGUCAUAUGGAAGUUCUAUGUAUAGAUGUCUAAGGUAUCUCCAAACUGUUCUCCAUAGCGGCUGUACCAGUUGACAUUCCCACCAGCAGUGCAGGAGGGUUCCCUUUUCUCCACAGCCCCUCCAGCACUUGUUAUUUGUGGAUUUAUUAAUGAUGGCCAUUCUGACUGGUGUGAGGUGAUAUCUCAUGGUAGUUUUGAUUUGCAUUUCUCUUAUAAUCAGCGAUGUUGA